rnacentral:rRNA from 1 species
GAUAGACUUAGGGGGAAAGGGCCUGCCAUUGGAUCACCCUUAAGUGCUGACUGGGUUGGAUUCACGGCUGAGGAGUCUGAGAUGCUGAAAGCUGGGUACCGAAAGAGAUCUUUCUACGGUGGACCAGACUACAAAUGUACCAACUGUGGUGCAGUCUAUUGGUUUGAGGAGAGGGUGAGAUCGGAAUCCGCUAUUACGCUAAGGCGGGUGGUUUACAACAAAUGGUGUAAGGGUGGUAAGGUGUAUAUUACAACUUUUAAAAAGCCACCUUUGUUUCUCUCUGAGUUGCUGAGAUACAAUGGUCCCUCGCGUAGCAGAGAGUUUAUAAAAAAUCGCCAGUACAAAUGCCUCUUUGCAUUUACUUCCAUGGGAACUACUGUUGAUCGUUCUGUAAAUGAUGAUAAUGGUCCGAAUAUAUACAAAAUAAACGGGCAGGUUUGUCAUCGAAUGGGAUCUCUUAUGCCUAAGGAAGGAAAUAUCCCCAAGUAUGCCGAACUUUAUAUAUAUGAUACCCAGAAUGAGGUGCAAAACAGGAUUCAGGCUUUAGAAAAGGGUGAAAAGAGUGAUGGUGGUUUAGAUGAAUCUAUUGUUGAAGGCUUGAUGCAUAUGCUUGAUACUCACAAUUCUUAUGUCAAAACGUUUAGAUCAGCUAGAGAAAUACUAGCAGCCAAUAGGCAUGCCGAGAUAGCCAUUCGUUUAGUUGCCCCUGGAGAAUCUGAUGGCCCACAGUUUAGCCUCCCUACAACUGAUGAGUUAGCAUCUUUAAUGUUUGGUGAGUUCACGGUGGAGGCUUCUUGUCGUGACAUAAUAAUACAUGGUAGAGAUGACAAUCUGCAGCAAAUAUCUUCUUUGCAAACUUCAUACAUGCCUUUGAAGUAUCCUCUUCUCUUUCCUUAUGCAGAACGUGGGUUUCAGCUCGGGCUUAAAUAUAUUGGUUCAAAUCCUUUAGAUACUAGCAAAAGAACCAGGCUCACUAUGCAGGACUAUUAUUCCUAUUGUCUCCACUAUAGACCAGAGCAGCAUAAUCCAUACCUUUGUUGUGGUUUGCUUUCCUCACAGGCUAUUGUAGAUGCACACGCUUGCAUAGACGAGUGGAGGCUGCAUUUCAUUAUGAAGGCUAAUAAUGAUCUUAGAGCAGAGAACUUGCAAGGAGUCACUGAUGCUGUUGGAAAAGGGCAGACAGAUGCAAGUUCUGUUGGCAAAAAAAACAUACUUACAUCCUCUUUUACCGGUGGCCGGUGUUAUAUGAUUGAGAACUUCCAGGACGCAGUAGCUAUUUCACGUGUCUUUGGCCCACCAGACCUUUUCACCACCUUUACCUGUAAUCCCAAGUGGACUGAAAUAACAGAAGCCCUGUCUUCUGAGCCUGGCCAGAUGCCUUUAGACAGGGCGGAUCUUCCGGUCAGGGUGUAUCACAUGAAGCUCAAUGACUAUAUUCAUGAUAUUAAGAGUGGGGAGUCCUUUGGUCCUAUACUACACACUAUGGAGUUCCAGAAAAGAGGGCUUCCUCAUGCCCAUAUCCUGAUCUGGCUUGAUAGGAAAAAACGGGAGGUUAGUCCUGCUUUAAUUGACUCUUUCAUAUCGGCUUCCAUCCCUGAUCCUGUUGCGGAUCCUCUUGGAUACGUUCUUGUUUCUGAACACAUGAUGCAUGGCCCUUGCGGGGAAGAUGGUGUUAAAUGUCCUUGCAUGAAAAAUGGAUUGUGUUCAAAAAAAUUUCCUAAGGCAUUUCAGCUCGAGACCUCUCUAGAUGAUAGUGGAUUCCCUGUGUAUAGUCGCCCAGACAACGGCCGUUUUAUAUUUUAAAAAAAGGUCAGGCUUGAUAACAGGCAUGUUGUUCCUUAUAAUCUGCUCAUACUAAAAAAAUACCAAGCGCAUAUUAACGUUGAGUGGUGCAAUAAAACCCAUGUUAUCAAGUAUCUUUAUAAGUAUGUUACAAAGGGUCCUGAUUUUUCAAAAACUUUGUUUGAAAGCAUCAAAAAC